rnacentral:tmRNA from 1 species
GGGGUUGUACCGGUUUCGACGGGGAUAAUGAACCUGGAUAAGCCAUUCAUGUACCGAACGCAUGUAAAAAGACGGAAAACCUAAAUAUAAACGCUGAAGAUAAUUUAGCAUACGCGGCUUGAUCCGCGGGUCCGCUCCAGUGUUCCCGUACAUUGGAAUCCGGGCCUCGACUUUACGGGUAAAUUCCGGCGCUAAGCUUUGCGCGCAGGAAAUAUUCAUGAAGCUACCAAAACGACCCGGCCUGCUUACCGGCCUGGGUUUGAGGGAAUAAACGUAGAUAAGCUAUAAUGGUAGAAAAUUCGGCGGAUUUAUUUUCGGACAGGGGUUCGACUCCCCUCAGCUCCAU